rnacentral:rRNA from 1 species
GACGAACGCUGGCGGCGUGCCUAAUGCAUGCAAGUCGCACGGGUCUCCUUCGGGUGUUCCGUGGCGAACGGCUGAGGAACGCGUGGGGACCUAUCCUUCAACGGGGGACAACACCGCGAAAGCGGUGCUAAUCCCGCAUCCGCUCUGCGGUGGAAAGCGUGGCACCACUCGCUGAAGACUGGCGCUGCGGCCCAUCAGGUGGUUUGCGGGGUAACGGCCCAGCAAGCCCGUGACGGGUCGCUGGUCUGUUGGGACGACCAGCCAUACUGGGAGUGAGAUACGGCACAGAGUCGUACGGGAGGCAGGGGGAAGGACUUUUCGGCCAUGGGCGCAAGCGUGACCGAGCAACGCGGCGUGUGGGAUGACGGCGUUGGGGUUGUAAGCCGCUUUUGGGGGGGAAGAAACAGACGGUACCCGGUGAAUAAGCCCCGGCUAACUCUGUG